ACUAAGGUUUUUUUAAAAACCACAAAGAUGAUUUAAUUAAAAGAAA
rfam:Homo sapiens chromosome 12, GRCh38 reference primary assembly.